rnacentral:rRNA from 1 species
UACGGAGGGGGCUAGCGUUGUUCGGAAUUACUGGGCGUAAAGCGCACGUAGGCGGUGGUGCAUGUCAGAUGUGAAAGCCCUGGGCUUAACCUAGGAAUUGCAUUUGAAACUGCGCCGCUAGAGACCGGAAGAGGGUAGUGGAAUUCCCAGUGUAGAGGUGAAAUUCGUAGAUAUUGGGAAGAACACCAGUGGCGAAGGCGGCUACCUGGUCCGGUACUGACGCUGAGGUGCGAAAGCGUGGGGAGCAAACAGG